UUCUUGUUUACCCGCCUAUAUACCACCGUCGUCAGCCUACCCUGUGAAGGAUUAAUAGUAGGCAAAGUUGGUACAACCCAAAACGUCAGGUCGAGGUGUAGCGCAUGAAGGGGGAAGAAAUGGGCUACAUUCUCUAUACAGAGAACCACGAAUGACACAAUGAAAUAUAUGUCUGAAGGAGGAGGAGGCAGUAAGUUAAGAAACAGAGUGUCUUACUGAAACCGGCCAUGAAGCGCGCACACACCGCCCGUCACUCUCCCCAAACCAAAUCAAACGAUAAUUAAUACAACAUUACACACAAAGGGGAGGCAAGUCGUAACAUGGUAAGUGUACCGGAAGGUGCACUUGGAAUAAU
rnacentral:rRNA from 1 species